ensembl:snRNA U6 U6 spliceosomal RNA
GUGCUCACUUCAGCAGCACAUAUACUAAAAUUCAAGCGAUACUGAAAAGAUUAGCAGGGCCCCUACACAAGAAUGACAAGCGAAUUUGCGAGGAGUUCCACUAUUAA